UACGUAGGGUGCAAGCGUUGUCCGGAAUUAUUGGGCGUAAAGAGCUCGUAGGCGGUCAGUCGCGUCUGCUGUGAAAACUCGGGGCUUAACUCCGGGCCUGCAGUGGGUACGGGCUGACUAGAGUGUGGUAGGGGAGACUGGAAUUCCUGGUGUAGCGGUGAAAUGCGCAGAUAUCAGGAGGAACACCGGUGGCGAAGGCGGGUCUCUGGGCCGUAACUGACGCUGAGGAGCGAAAGCGUGGGGAGCGAACAGG
rnacentral:rRNA from 1 species